GAGACCAGUGAGCUAUUCCACUUCCGUAUGACAGCAGGAGCCUCCGUGAACGCAACGGAGUUUCACCAAACGAGUGACUCUAAUGGGGAAUUUUCAGGUGGAGUGUGCGCUCUCAUCCUCGAGUUUGCUCGCUGGAGUUGCAGGCUGAGGACCAGAUGGUGGAGGAGGCAUAUGCAGGCUUGACCUUGACCUGAGGCUGGAGGAGAAUGGCACAUUCGGACAUCGUGACAAUUGAUGAGAGCGCUCAGGGCUGCCGAGGAGCUCUCAGGCUCUGAUUCCACUGCCCAUCACUGACGAUCACAGAACGCCAUCAUUCAAAGAUCCACGACCCGCAGCUUAGAUGAUGCUGGAACGCCAGGGGCUGCAGAGCCCCGUCCUAACAAGGCACUCUGCUGUCUCGGGGAACUUAAACCACUCUGUUUUCCCUUUAGUUUGCAACCCCCGGCUUAUGGCUCGACAGAGAAGAUGGGAGAUGAGUGACUUUGAGACUCUGGGAAGAGGCAGAAACAGCGAGAAAGAUUCCUCAGCGCCAGAGGGAUGGGAGCUCUGCGGGUGCCUCGAUCCAUUCCAUCAUGAGGUCUUGGGGGGAUGGCCGGACUCCCGCUGAUGAUCGGGCAUGGGGAGAUGCCGGAUGGCUGGGGUACACUGAAAGAAGUUGGAGCCUGGAUUUGGGGUUCCUAGCCUCCACAAAGAUCCUGUGGCCGUGCCUGAGGGGCUCUGCAGAGUUGGACCAUGAGCCCACCGGUAAGGUCAUGGGGCACCAAAGCCCAGAGCCCAGCUUCUUUUUCCUAGCCCUGUGUUAAGCCUCCUGGAUUCUCAUGUGAACUUAGGGAGGUGAAAGGAACCACCCCAAAAUAGGGACACUGAAUUUCUUGUGGCCUGGCGCGGUGGCUCACACCUGU